UGGGGAAUAUUGCACAAUGGGGGAAACCCUGAUGCAGCAACGCCGCGUGAAGGAAGACGGUUUUCGGAUUGUAAACUUCUAUCGACGGGGAAGAAAAAAAUGACAGUACCCGAGUAAGAAGCCCCGGCUAACUACGUGCCAGCAGCCGCGGUAAUACGUAGGGGGCAAGCGUUAUCCGGAAUCACUGGGUGUAAAGGGUGCGUAGGCGGUUAUGUAAGUCAGAUGUGAAAUACCGAAGCUCAACUUCGGGGCUGCAUUUGAAACUGUGUGACUAGAGUACAGGAGAGGUAAGUGGAAUUCCUAGUGUAGCGGUGAAAUGCGUAGAUAUUAGGAAGAACACCAGUGGCGAAGGCGACUUACUGGACUGAAACUGACGCUGAGGCACGAAAGCGUGGGGAGCAAACAGG
rnacentral:rRNA from 1 species